rnacentral:rRNA from 1 species
ACUCAAAUGAAUUGACGGGGGCUCACACAAGCGGUGGAGCAUGUUGCUUAAUUCGAGGCAACGCGAAGAACCUUACCUGGGCUUGACAUGUACGGAUCAACCCCGUGAAAGCGGGGCCACAGUCGCAAGACCGGAACGUGCACAGGUGCUGCAUGGCUGUCGUCAGCUCGUGCUGUGAAGUGUCGGGUUAAGUCCCUUAACGAGCGCAACCCCUGUCGUUAGUUGCUUACGGGUAAUGCCGAGUACUCUAGCGAGACUGCCGGUGUCAAACCGGAGGAAGGUGGGGAUGACGUCAAGUCCUCAUGGCCCUUACGCCCAGGGCUGCAAACGUGCUACAAUGGCGCGCACAGAGCGAUGCGAGAUCGCAAGAUGGAGCAAAUCGCAAAAAACGCGCCCCAGUUCGGAUUGCAGGCUGCAACUCGCCUGCAUGAAGUCGGAAUCGCUAGUAAUCGGAGAUCAGCUACGCUCCGGUGAAUGUGUUCCUGAGCCUUGUACACACCGCCCGU